CCUACGGGAGGCUGCAGUGGGGAAUAUUGCACAAUGGGGGAAACCCUGAUGCAGCGACGCCGCGUGAGUGAAGAAGUAUUUCGGUAUGUAAAGCUCUAUCAGCAGGAACGAGACAAGACGGUAGCUGACUAAGAAGCGCCGGCUAACUACGUACCAGCAGGCGCGGUAAUACGUAGGGGGCGAGCGUUAUCCGGAUUCACUGGGUGUAAAGGGAGCGUAGACGGCCGUGCAAGCCAGGAGGGAAAGCCCGGGGCCCAAACCCGGGACUGCUGUUGGAACUGUGCGGCUAGAGUGCGGGAGGGGCAGGCGGAAUGCCUGGUGUAGCGGUGAAAUGCGUAGAUAUCAGGAGGAACACCGGCGGCGAAGGCGGCCUGCUGGACCGCGACUGACGUUGAGGCUCGAAAGCGUGGGGAGCGAACAGGAUUAGAUACCCGUGUAGUC
rnacentral:rRNA from 1 species